GUAAGGAAUAUUGGACAAUGGACGCAAGUCUGAUCCAGCCAUGCCGCGUGAAGGAUUAAGGUCCUCUGGAUUGUAAACUUCUUUUAUAAGGGACGAAAAAAGGCUGUUCUAAGUCGUCUGACGGUACCUUAUGAAUAAGCACCGGCUAACUCCGUGCCAGCAGCCGCGGUAAUACGGAGGGUGCAAGCGUUAUCCGGAUUCACUGGGUUUAAAGGGUGCGUAGGCGGGCAGGUAAGUCAGUGGUGAAAUCCUAGAGCUUAACUCUAGAACUGCCAUUGAUACUAUCUGUCUUGAAUAUUGUGGAGGUAAGCGGAAUAUGUCAUGUAGCGGUGAAAUGCUUAGAUAUGACAUAGAACACCUAUUGCGAAGGCAGCUUACUACGCAUAUAUUGACGCUGAGGCACGAAAGCGUGGGGAUCAAACAGGAUUAGAUACCCGAGUAGUCC
rnacentral:rRNA from 1 species